UACGUAGGGUGCGAGCGUUGUCCGGAAUUAUUGGGCGUAAAGAGCUCGUAGGCGGUUUGUCGCGUCUGCCGUGAAAGUCCGGGGCUCAACUCCGGGCCUGCAGUGGGUACGGGCAGACUAGAGUGCGGUAGGGGAGACUGGAAUUCCUGGUGUAGCGGUGAAAUGCGUAGAUAUCGGGAGGAACACCAGAGGCGAAGGCGGGUUACUGGGCUGAUACUGACGCUGAUGCGCGAAAGCCAGGGGAGCAAACGGG
rnacentral:rRNA from 1 species